rnacentral:lncRNA from 1 species
CUUUAUUUUUCCUAUUAUCCAUAACUUACAGACAGUAAAAGUGCUGUUCAGACUUUCCCCAGUUAUCCUUGAUGUUCCCAGAGGGCUUCAACUGAGUUGGAAAUGAGCUGUUCUGUUCCUCCUCUUCCUAUUUUUCUUAGCUGGGUUGAUUCCUGGCACCGCAUGCUGGCCUGUGCUUGCUGAGAACCUGACAAAGGACAGUUUUGCUCAGGGUCUGACUUUUCUUGGUCCAGCGUUGCAUAAUGUUAGCUGUUGCACAAGGCAACAACUGGCAUAUGCUGAGGCCUUUUAGAUGAACUCUUCUCCACAAAAAUGGUACUGGUGCCUCAGAGAUAUCAUCAAGUCUAUGCAAUAGCUCAGAGCAUCUGAGUCUAAUUUAACUGUGCUAUUUAAUUUAAUUACAGAUUUGUUGUAAGAAGUUGACUGCUGCUGCUGUUAUGGUAGCUUGGGAAAGAAAGAUGUCAAGGAACGUUCAUUUGAAAGGCUCUCAUGAGAGGCAGGUAAACACUUGUGUAGCACUGCAGCUGAUGUUACACAAGUCAAGUAAACCUCCAUCAAAACCAUAGGCUCAGCAGUUUCUGAACAAUAAAAUAGGAUAGAUAAAAUAGGAAAACCUACUUUUGUACCUGUAUAUUGGUGAUGUUACGGCUGUUAUGGGAAAACAGCAGUGACUGAUCUAAUAAUCCAUCCUUGACAGGUUGCUCAAAGUCAAGAAAGCAGACUGAUCCCAGAUCAGAGGUUUUGACUCCAGUAUGUCAAAAUUUGGUUACAUAAACAGAACUCAGACAAGGAUGCAUGUUCCUAGAAUCUCUGAAGUGAAAUGGAUGUGGUGCCACCAAAGUAGCUGACCAGGAAUAACUGAUAGAGAAGAGAGAUGAAAAUUCCUGCUCCUUUCAGUUUCUAUGACUCAGGGGUUGAGAAGACAUCAGUCUAAAGACACCACAUGUUGCUCAGACCUUCAAGAGGGUGUGAUUUUACUAGUCAGGAAAAUCAGCUCUAUUUUUCAGACACACAUGGCAAAUGGAAUUCAUCUAAACUCUAUCAGGGAUUUCCAGACAAGCUCAGGCCAAACUCCAGCUCUCCCUGUUGCUCUCAGCUACACCUAUCAGGUACGUACCAUAUGGCCAUGCAAAAAAAUACGUGUACAGCUUUUUCUUUGUCAAAUAGCGACCAAACAGUUUGGGACCAUAUGCUACAGAACACAAGUGAGCACUCUAAUGGCUUACAUGAGUAGGGUGAAUCAACUCAGAAGAAAUGUGCAAUUGUCCAUCCUUCUCUUCCCACUGUACAUGUCUUUCUACAACACACAACAAGAAUUCAUACUGUGGUUUCUUCACUCUAGUGACUUCAUCUCAGUUUUGCCAAGUGAUUCUCCCUGCAAAUGUGAAAUAUGAAAUGAUAGCUUUUGUGGUCAGUGACAAAGUCAUUUGUGGCUGCGAAGAAGGCAAAUUCUCAGUAUCUAACUUGUUCUGGUAAUUUGGCCUUCAUAACAUAACAAUCACUCACAAAUGAAGUUUCUAUCUAAUGCUAAUUUGUUCCCAAG